rnacentral:rRNA from 1 species
AAUAGAUACCCGGGUAGUCCACGCCGUAAACGAUGGAUACUAGCUGUUUGGAUUGCGGUCUGAGUGGUUAAGCGAAAGUGAUAAGUAUCCCACCUGGGGAGUACGUUCGCAAGAAUGAAACUCAAAGGAAUUGACGGGGGCCCGCACAAGCGGUGGAGCAUGUGGUUUAAUUCGAUGAUACGCGAGGAACCUUACCAGGGCUUAAAUGUAGAUUGACGUUAUUGGAAACAGUAAUUUCUUCGGACAAUUUACAAGGUGCUGCGUGGUUGUCGUCAGCUCGUGCCGUGAGGUGUCAGGUUAAGUCCUAUAACGAGCGCAACCCCUGUUGUUAGUUGUCAGCACGUAAUGGUGGGAACUCUAGCAAGACUGCCGGUGUAAACCGCGAGGAAGGUGGGGAUGACGUCAAAGUCAUCACGGCCCUUACGUCCUGGGCCACACACGUGCUACAAUGGGCGGUACAGAGAGCAGCCACUAUGCAAAUAGGCGCGAAUCUACAAAACCGUUCUCAGUUCGGAUCGGAGUCUGCAACUCGACU